UUCUGCCUGUUUUCUAAAGUUUUUUUUACUUUCAAAUAUUUCAAUUAUGUCAUCAUUAAAAGCUGAUGCAUUUUUCCUAUUUUCAUAGUUUCCUCUUUCGAAAUCGACUAUAUGGAAAUGUAGAUACUUUUCUUGAUGUCUAUGGUAUAUUAAAAAUAAAUUUACUUAGAAUACUGCGCAAUAUUUAGAGAUAGUUGGUAUAUCUUGGACAAUUUUUUUUGGUAGAGUUUAAAGAUGUUUUUUGUUCCUGGCGGAAUUUUUUAGGUUUUUAUUCGUAUAAACAAGUAUUUCCUACGGUUUUUAGAAUGAGUCAUUGUUUUUAUACAUAAUGAGGGCCCUCUUUCUUAAUAAUUAUAUAAUCUUUCAGAUAACAUAAAAGACUUUUGCACACAUGUUUAUACUCAACAUUGUCGCCAUAUUUAAGUUAAAAAUGUUGCAUUGUUUUAAUAAAAAAGGCUUUAACAAUAAUAAUUUUCUUUUUUGGGAGCGUUAUUAAGAAUACACACCAGCACAUCAAGACCACCUAAUACAAGAGAUUUAUGUCACUCCUCGUAUAAUCCUGAUGUUUGGCCAUCAUUCUGGUUUACGAGUUGGUCUUCCAGUAUCUGAUUAAGGAUAGUCUACAACAAAUCAAUGGAUGUAUACGGUUCCAAGGCAGUACAGUUAUCCUUUUCAUGAAUAUUACCAAGAAUGGCAUCAGGACUUAUAAAACCAAGAGGACUUUCCAGAAGGGUAGCUAGGAGAUGUAUUUACCUCAACAUAGACAUCAGCUUGUCCAUCAACAUCUUGGAUUUAAUAUAUC